CGGGGGAAGGGGGGUUUUCUCAGCCAGGAUUGCGAGAGGGCGCAGGCCAGGCCUAGGGACCCCACCGGUGCACG
rnacentral:pre_miRNA from 1 species